GACGAAUCGUGCGAACGUUAUUCGGAAUCACUGGGCUUAAAGCGCGUGUAGGCGGGACGGCACGUCGGUCGCUGAAAGCCCCCGGCUCAACCGGGGAACGGGCGCCGAUACGACCGUCCUGGAGGGACGUAGGGGGACCUGGAACAUCCGGUGGAGCGGUGAAAUGCGUUGAGAUCGGAUGGAACGCCCGUGGCGAAAGCGAGGUCCUGGACGUUUUUCUGACGCUGAGACGCGAAAGCCAGGGGAGCGAACGGG
rnacentral:rRNA from 1 species